rnacentral:rRNA from 1 species
GUGUCAGCCGCCGCGGUAAUACGGGGGGAGCAAGCGUUGUUCGGAUUUACUGGGCGUAAAGGGCGCGUAGGCGGCCAGCACAAGUCAGUUGUGAAAUCUCCGAGCUUAACUCGGAAAGGUCAACUGAUACUGUGCGGCUAGAGUGCGGAAGGGGCAACUGGAAUUCUUGGUGUAGCGGUGAAAUGCGUAGAUAUCAAGAGGAACACCUGCGGCGAAGGCGGGUUGCUGGGCCGACACUGACGCUGAGGCGCGAAAGCUAGGGGAGCGAACGGGAUUAGAAACCCUGGUAGUCC